UUUAAAAAGGAAAGAAAAGAAAAAAGCGAGUAGACGACUAAUAUAAUAGAGCCAGCGAAAGCCUCCCGAGCAUCUUCUUCUUCUUCUUCUUCUCUCGUCCAAUCUUGUAUCGUGUUACAGAGGGAAAGUGUGAUACAUCCAUCGAUCUCUCAAUGCCUGCGCAGAAGCGUUCUUUGCCGGACAACCUCACCGACGAUGACGACGACAGCCCCACACCUCACCACCGCCACCGCCCCAAGCAAUCUCGACCCCAAGAUGAACUCCUACAGCAACAACAAGGAGACGUAGUAGUAGAACAACGAGAACAAGAGGAGGAGGAGGAGGAAGAUGAAGAAGAAAACGACGACGUCGAAGAAGAUGAGGAAUACGAUCGAGAUGAAGUUGACGAUUAUGACGGAAGCCCAUCCUCUACCUCUCAACAAAACCCCGAAUUUGUACUUGUACAACUGGUAGAUAUUCGUAAAGAUGUACACUGCCCAAUAUGUCUUGGGAUUAUUAAGAAGACACGGACUGUAAUGGAAUGCCUACACAGGUUUUGCAGGGAAUGCAUCGACAAGUCAAUGCGAAUGGGGAACAAUGAGUGCCCUGCUUGCCGCACACACUGUGCCAGUCGACGGUCUUUGAGAGAUGAUCCAAAUUAUGAUGCCCUAAUUGCAACAUUAUAUCCAGAUAUUGAGAAAUAUGAGAAGGAGGAAUUGGCUUUCCAUGAAGAGGAGAGGACUCGAAAUGAGCAGAUACAAGCAUCAAUUGCCCAAAUAUUCCAACGACAAUCAGAAGCUUUAAUCAAGAGACGCUCACUUGGCAAAGAUACCCAAGAUGCAUAUAAUAUGAGAUCCCUGCGCAAUAAUCGGAGUGGUUUCCGAAGGAGAAGAAACUCUCAAGCCACUGAACUCCAAGGGUUUGAAGACAAUGAGGAUGAAAAUGACACUAGUAACAUGGGCACAAAAUCGCCUUCAGCUGAAGAGAGACAUACUGAAGUGAGGCCAAGACGGCUAAGAAGACGGACAGGAUUUCGAUCAUCUCAGCCUUCAUCAUCUGUGACCAAUUCAAAUGGAGGAUGCACUGAAAAUGAUGUAGAAGUGAGCCGAGAGAACAGGGGAAUUUCACAGGGUCUUGUGUGGAGCUCUGAAAUGCUUGCUUGGGGCCGGGGUGGUGCUCGGAGUCACACCCGGCAUGGCAUUGCAAGCUGUUGCAGCAAUAAGAGUUCUCGAAGCACUCGCUUAUCAAAGUUGGUCGAUUACCUUCGGAACCUCAAGGAAAACAAUGAUGAGUUAGAUGUUCAUCUCAUGCUUAUUUCUUUGGAUAAAAGAUGCACACCAAACUUGCAGCAGCCUCACCUUUGCUGUAGGCCGAGUUUGUCAGUCAAACACCUUUGUGAAUAUGUUGCUCGUCAAACACCUUUGCAAGCCGAAGAAGUUGAGUUGUUCUCAGUUAAAGGACACCACAAUUCCAAUGACGAGAAAUUGACUGAUCACCCAUCAGCGUUAAUGAAUGAUCUGGAUUCAGUUCCCCUUUUGGUUGAUCCAUGCAGAUAUGAUUUGCAAAUUCUGCAAGCAGAAGAAACUUUGGCAGGGAUUAAGGCCAAUUGCACUUCUAGUAGGGACCGCUUGAUCCUUGUGCCAUAAUGAACUAGUUUCCACAAGAAGAAUGCAAGCUUGUUCACCUUCCUUUUGGGUUUCUGCAUCCUAUAUGUCACUGUUUCUGCUGUAAAUGCUGUAAAUGAUUUAAAUGCUUUUGGGUUUCUGCAUCCUUUUGAAUUCUAGCAUACAGGCGGAAGGAGAUCUAGAUAGGAAAUUGAUUUGGAUGAGAAGAUUGGGUUAACUGUUGAUAGAGUUGUUGUAAAUGUAGUCAAAGAUAGAUCACGGGAUGCAUUGAUCCCAUUUGAGACAUUUUUCUUGUUGUAUAAGAGACAUAAAACAUCUGUUUCUAUUAUUUGUUGUAAUUUGAGGCAUAAGGCUUUUUCCUUGUAUAAGAGACAUUUUUCUUGUUCCUUCUUACAGCAGCAUAACACUUUUUUCCUUGUUAA